GCGCGCACAGGUGGCUGCGGUACUGGGAGCCAAGGUGGAGUCUUUGGAAAUGGGAACGCGAAGCCGCUCUACUCCGCUCCUCCCUCUAGACCUGUUGAAGUGCCUUAGGGAAGCACAGCCUCGGCCUCAGGGAAAGGUGUGCCGGCCGCUCGGCUGCCCUGGUGUGCAGCUGGUUGCGUUUAGCUCAGCUUCAGCAGGCUGUAGCAGGGCAGGCUAACCCCCUCCUAGCCGCGCCUCCAGACCCAGGUGACUUUGCAGCCUGCGGGGGACAAUGCAGGCUUCCCUCUCCUACUCACUCUGCGCUUCCUGGUGAAGAUGUGCGACAGACAGUGGUUUAAGAGUCCAAACUUCUGGUCCUGCCUGUGUUUUCCGUAUAGUCCGUACUGAGAGGAUCAAACCACCACAUGCAGCUGGUGAGAAGGACCCUGCAGUCCUGCACCAGGGAUGGGACAGAGCUGUGAGGUCAUCGAGGCAUGGUCAAAGCAAAACUCAGUGGAACAAACUCUGUCCGAGACUAAGCAUGUCUUGGAUCUGAGCCUACUCUGCUGUAGCUGCUUGCCAACAUUGAUGCUGACAAAGGGGAAGCCUUACAUCAAAAGCAAAGAGAAGCAAAAUUUCUGUACGAUCUGGAGCUGCAGACCUCCCCUUCUUGUAGGUAAGCACCUGUGUAAGAUGGUUAUGGCUGCCAGGUGCAACUAAUACCCUAAACAAUCCAGGAACCCUGGGAAGGAUCAGCAGUAGCUUGAAGAGGUCAAAUUUUGGUGUGAAUGAGGAUGAGAGGAUUCAUUUGUAUUUAUGAUAAAUAUACCAUGUUGCUAGGAGAACUCUGCCGCAUAGGGGUUGGAAAAAACGCAGGUGACAAAAAGAUAAUAAAUGAAACAGAUCAGCAACGGAAGCAUGGGUGAAGACAAAGGCAAAUCUGAAGGAAGAAGGAAAGGAAAUAUGCUUCAAUGAAAGUGUAAUUGAGAGUGGGAAAAAAAUAAAAAGAAAAAUCAUCAGUUGAUUUUUUUUCGGGGUUGGCAGUUUGUGGUGGGAAUUGUCAAACUAUAUUGGUCAUUUUUUGCUUGUAAAUGUUUAUUUUACAGUCUUCUUGGUUCAUAAUAACUGUUUCAAAUAUCUCAGAGGGAACAAAUGUUGGUAGAAUAAUUCUAGUGAAACAUAGCUCUCUGCAGUUUCAAGGCUGAGGUGAAUCAUGCUAUGCUGCCUGUGUCAUUAUGUCUCUGUUACUUUCAAAACAUGGUGAAUCAUAUUUGUUGAACACAAAUGUUGAUAUUCUGCAAUGAAACUAAAGCUGUGGUAACAGAAGUGGUAUAAGAAACAGCUGCUGUCAUUUCAGAUAGGUGAGCCUACUGCUUUAACCUGGAAGCAAAGAUGAGCAGCAAUCCUGUUUGUUGCAAACCUGCUCUGUAAGGACAAGGUUAUUUGUUAAGAGUUGCACCAGCCAGAACUGGAUGAUACAGUUUUAUCUAACCUGAAGCUGGUAAUCCAGUGCAGGUGCUUAACACUUCUAAUAUACUUCUGACCUUUUGGAGCUGAAUGAGGGAGUGGUUGCAGUGACACGAGGCCUAUUGUUAUGUGCAGAGUCACUCUGGCUUUGCACUCACUGGGGCUUUUCCUCACUGCUUGGACCCCGAUGCUUUUCCAGAGUAGUGAAAGCAUUCAGGAUAAGUCACGCUAGUAGUGCCAGAAUUGUUGAUAUAAAUAUCAGUAAGACCUCACAAAAGUACAAAUGAAUUUGUGUUGAGAGCAGUGCUGGUAGGUAGGGGUAUACAUGUUGGAAAUGCUUGUUGCAAAUAGAACUGUGGGAAUGAAAUUCUUUGUUAGCCAUCAGGAUGUGCUGCUGGUAUUUGUCCUCAGAUAUGGUUUAGUUACAACUGCUUGUCUAAUGUGUUACUAAGAGCUGUGUUCAUGUCACAGGGGUUUGAAAUCUAGAUGUCUGUCAUGCUGGAAGGAACAGUAGAGCAUUUUACAUUUUUUAGGACAACUAAGUUUGUUUUAGUACUGUUGAUGGAGAUGUUUAUUGUGUUGAAUGAAAAAACAAUAUUUUAAUGAAGGAUUUGAUUAGCUUUAAUACAUAUUGUACUACUGUAUGGUUUUGCCAGAACUCCAAGGCGAGGAGCCUGUGCUGUUUGUUCUUCCACAUUUAUUUAACUGCUGAGAUGUCAGAAACUUGACCUUUUUUUUUUCUUUUUUUCUUUUUUUAAAAAGAUAUUUUUCUGCAGUAGCAGCUCAGUGAGUCCUUGUGGUUUAUCUGGAGGAAGCUGCCUUUUGCAAUAGUGCACACAUUUAAGGUUAACCAGUUUUUGCUUUGAAAGAGCUCCAGUGCAAGACUAAACUAGUUGAUCUUUUGUUCUCAUAUACACUAUGAGUGGGUUUGCCUAUGAUUUAUUUAUGACCUAGGAUUUCCAGCCCAUUCUGUACCACAGGAACUGGUCUUUCACACUUGCCUAUCCAAGCCUUUUUUUUUUUGAACAUGCUGUAUUCAGUCUGGAAUGCUGAAAGAAUGGUCCUUUGCUUGAAAACUGUCUGUAGAAAUAGCCUUGAUUGAAGAUAGUAAAGCUUGAUCUGCAACAUAAAGCUUUUUAGUGCACACAAUGGGAAAAUUCAUGUUGUUUUUUUGUAGAACAUGAGUGUCCCUAUUAGUCUCAGGCUAACCUGACAAAGAGAUGUUUCCAGGGUUCUUUCAAAAACUGAAUUGUCUUUCUCAAUAACAACAUAGUGAUCUGUGGGCUGAGCUCUAUGUUUUCAUGUCAUUGCAAGGACAUUUACUGGAACACAGAAAAUAAACCCACUUCCCAUAUUUUUAUAGUAAUGCGCUGCUAUGUGCUUAGGCAAAUUAAAAUGGGUUUUAGUGUUUGAAAAAGGAAGCAAAUCACCAUAGAAUAACUAUGACAACUAGAAAUUUAGCCUCAGCAAAAACUAGCAGAGCCUGCUGAUGAUGUGGGCUGCAAGAUUAGGAAGUCUUAUUUCUUUUUUUUGCGAAAAUAGAAUUCAGAAGAGCCAGCUGAAAGUCUUCUAGCAGAGCCAUCUAUCUCUAAAAAUGCUUCAGCAAUUAAAACAUUGUUUUGCAGGACUGCUUUCACUUCAUCAGUGAUUAAGAGUCUGUAAAACAUUUUGGCAAAGUUUAAUCAAUUUAUUUUGAUGUUUUUAAUAUAAAGUAAAAGGCCCAGAUGAGGCAUGUUGGUGCUACUGCUUUAGUGGUUCCAAAGCAUUUUAUUUUUACUUUUAUGGGAAACUUGCAACUAAUCAUUCUGAUUCAGAUCAAAGGGCAAUAUUGAAGUGUCAGAAGUUCCAUUUUUGGCCACAUUGAAGAAUUAAUGGCUUGGAAAAUAUUUCUAGUCUGUAGUCAAGAUACCAGUGACCCAAGAUCUCCAAGAAACAGGACAUUCUGCAGAAGUCCUCAGCAUGAGGCUCUGCUGUAAGCAAAACUGAUACUUCAGGAACUGACCUUUCCCCAGGACUCAGCUGAAGGUGGGAAUGUACUAUGCUGUUGACCAGUUUUGGACCCAGUUUAGUAGUGACAUCUAAAAGGAUUUACUCUAUCAGCUGCUUCUAAUAACCUUGCCCUUUGGGAGGGCUCAACCAUGUCUGAGGCCAGCUGCUUCUUCUAGCUACCUGAAUCCUUUUCCAAUAACUGUAUGCAGGUGAAUUGGGUCAAGUGGUGCCCUUCUGUGUCUAGCUUAUUAAAACAAUGCUGUUGUGAAAACAAAGACUUUUCCCUGGCCAUGUGGUUGUGUGCAGUUUCUUUCUAGCUCAUCUUCUCCUACAAAAUCUGUCUUUGCUACCUGGUAUUUCCUUAAGUGAGCAGACCUUUCUAUCAUAGAUGAUCUUCCAGGCUCUUAUUGAGGUGAGAGAAUGGGGCUCCUCCAGGAUCCUCUUAUAGCAUCUCUUGCCUCUAGAUAAUCUAAACAAGUUUUAUGGUAAUUACCUCAUAUCUUAUU